GCACAGCUCACGUAUGAGGCACUGAUUCGCUUCUUAAAAAAUGCAGCCAAUGAGAUCCCAAUCGAGCUGGAGCUGCUUGAGGCUCAGAUGCACCCAAACAUACUCGAUGUGUUUUAUGAAGUCGUCAUCUUCGGGUGGUUCAUCUAUGACACCGCACCUGAGUUUGUAGAUGGCGGUUUCCUGAGUACACUGUUUGAACACAUCAACAGCUGGG